UACGAAGGGGGCUAGCGUUGUUCGGAUUUACUGGGCGUAAAGCGCACGUAGGCGGAUCGUUAAGUCGGGGGUGAAAUCCUGGAGCUCAACUCCAGAACUGCCUUCGAUACUGGCGAUCUUGAGUCCGGAAGAGGUGAGUGGAACUCCUAGUGUAGAGGUGGAAUUCGUAGAGAUUGGGAGGAACACCAGUGGCGAAGGCGGCUACCUGGACCAGCACUGACACUGAGGCACGAAAGCGUGGGGAGCAAACAGG
rnacentral:rRNA from 1 species